GGGCGCGUAGCUCAGUUGGUUAGAGCCCUCGCCUUACAAGCGAGUGGUCGGAGGUUCGAGUCCUCUCGCGCCCAC
rnacentral:tRNA from 1 species